CGCGGCCUAUCAGCUUGUUGGCGGGGUGACGGCCCACCAAGGCGAUGACGGGUAGCCGGUCUGAGAGGACGAUCGGCCACACUGGGACUGAGACACUGCCCAGACUCCUACGGGAGGCUGCAGUCGAGAAUCUUCCGCAAUGGGCGAAAGCCUGACGGAGCGACACCGCGUGCAGGAUGAAGGCCCUAGGGUUGUAAACUGCUGUCACACUCUAGGAAUGGCGUACGGUGAAUAGCCGUGCGCUUGACCAAGGUGAAAGGAAGCACCGGCUAAUUCCGUGCCAGCAGCCGCGGUAAGACGGAGGGUGCAAACGUUGUUCGGAAUCACUGGGCAUAAAGCGCACGUAGGCGGCGCGCUAAGUCAGGUGUGAAAGCCCCCGGCUCAACCGGGGAACUGCACCUGAUACUGGCGUGCUCGAGGACGGUUGGGGUGAGUGGAACUCCUGGUGGAGCGGUGAAAUGUGUAGAUAUCAGGAGGAACACCGGUGGCGAAAGCGGCUCACUGGGCCGUCUCUGACGCUGAGGUGCGAAAGCUAGGGUAGCGAACGGGAUUAGAUACCCCGGUAGUCCUAGCCGUAAACGAUGGGCACUAGGCAGGGGGAAUGCCUAUGGUUUUCUCUGCCGUAGCAAAUGUGUUAAGUGCCCCGCCUGGGGAGUACGG
rnacentral:rRNA from 1 species